CCUACGGGGUGCAGCAGUGGGGAAUAUUGGACAAUGGGCGAAAGCCUGAUCCAGCCAUGCCGCGUGUGUGAAGAAGGCCUUCGGGUUGUAAAGCACUUUCAGUGGGGAAGAAAGCCUUGGGGCUAAUACCCUCGAGGAAGGACAUCACCCACAGAAGAAGCACCGGCUAACUCCGUGCCAGCAGCCGCGGUAAUACGGAGGGUGCGAGCGUUAAUCGGAAUUACUGGGCGUAAAGCGCGCGUAGGCGGUCUGAUAAGCCGGUUGUGAAAGCCCCGGGCUCAACCUGGGAACGGCAUCCGGAACUGUCAGGCUAGAGUGCAGGAGAGGAAGGUAGAAUUCCCGGUGUAGCGGUGAAAUGCGUAGAGAUCGGGAGGAAUACCAGUGGCGAAGGCGGCCUUCUGGACUGACACUGACGCUGAGGUGCGAAAGCGUGGGUAGCAAACAGGAUUAGAUACCCUAGUCGUC
rnacentral:rRNA from 1 species